UGAAAUUAAAGAUAUGCACUUAACGAGCUGCUCUAUUUUUGCUUUCCAGUAACUUAGAGUUUAGCACUGUCCUGGUUUGUCGGCACUCCCCUCGUCUGCCGUCCGUACACCCUCUCGUGGAAGCCUCUGGUCUUCACUUGUUCUGAAGGUAAGUAACAACUAUUUUUAGGUUUAGUUAAUUGAAAUAUUGCGGUCAUUACUUGGGGCGAGUCAUGGGUAACUUC
rnacentral:lncRNA from 1 species